AUGCCGCUCUCCAGCCUGCUCUGGGUGUUCCUGGCCUUCACCUUCUCUGGAUCCUGUGUGGCCCAGAAAGUUACUCAAGUCCAGCCAGACAUAACCUAUCAGGUGGGCGAGGCAGCCAUCCUGAACUGUCGGUAUGACACAAGUUGGGCAACUUGGAACACAGACAUCUACUACAUUUACUGGUAUAAGCAGCUACCCAGGGGUGAGAUGACUUUCCUUAUUCGUCAAGAAUCUAAUAGCCCAAAUGCAAGGAAUGGCCGCUACUCUGUAAACUUUCAGAAAGCAGAUAAAUCCAUCAGCCUCACCAUUUCAGCCUUGCAGCUGGAAGAUUCUGCAAAGUACUUCUGUGCUCUCUGGGACCUCACAGUGCUUGAAGUAAUAGGAAAAGCUGAACAAAAACCCCAGAGCUCAAUAAGAGAGCCCUUCUACUGCUGGAGUCAAGCUGAUAGGCACACCUGCAGAUCCCAGACAAGAAAUGGUAGUCCUGUGGUUGCUUCAUCUGUGGUCUGGAUCAGAAGAUUUUAUUUUAAAUAA